AACGUAGGUGGCGAGCGUUAUCCGGAAUUACUGGGCGUAAAGCGUGUGCAGGCGGGCUGUCAAGGGGUGUAUGAAAGCUCCCGGCUCAACCGGGAAGGGUUAUGCCAGACUGACAGUCUUGAGUGCGAGAGAGGAAUGUGGAAUUCCGGGUGUAGUGGUGAAAUGCGCAGAGAUCGGGAGGAACACCCGUAGCGAAGGCGGUUCUCUGGGCCGGUACUGACGCUGAGGAGCGAAAGCGUGGGGAGCAAACAGG
rnacentral:rRNA from 1 species